UCUCAGUAUCUGUGAUAACUGCGUGUUAUUUCCGUAAAGAAAGAAUUAAUGACCAUGUACUGGAUCAAAUGGCAUUCUACUGCAGAACUGAGCACUGCCAUUCAAUUAUUACAUCAGUGCCUAUAUUGUGUUCACCAUCUAAGGAACCUUCAUGUGUGCAGGCUAGCAGGAAAAGCAGAGAGUAUCUCCCAGGAAAAUACUCUAUUUGUGCUACAUCCUUCAAAAGAGAAGUGAAGACAGUGUCACUGCUGUGUCAAUACCAGGAAAGGUGAGAUACAAGACAGCACAAAGGAGUGUCAUUAUACUGAACUCAACACACUCUGUUUCUGAAAAACAAGAUCUUUCAUCACAGGCAGCCUGAACUGAGCCCAGCGGGACUCCCCAUCACCUGUAGUAGCUGAGAACAUCGCGGUCCUCCUUCUGCCCUUCUUUGGCAUCUUGGGCCAGUUCCCGGACACUUUUGCUGCGAAUCUCCUUGCUGCUGUCCCUCCAAAAGAGCCACACCUCUUCCUCGUCUUCUCCUGCUUCCAGAGCAUUCUCUCCAGUAGAAACACCCUCAAAUUCAAAACGAGAAAGAA